AGUAGUUGAUCAGUGGCUCGAGGACGACGCUGGCGGCGUGCUUAACACAUGCAAGUCGAACGGUGAAACCAGGGGCUUGCCCUGGGGAUCAGUGGCGAACGGGUGAGUAACACGUGGGCAACCUGCCCCUGACUCUGGGAUAACUCCUCGAAAGAGGUGCUAAUACCGGAUACGACCACUUCGGGCAUCCGAUGGUGGUGGAAAGAAUUUUGGUCAGGGAUGGGCCCGCGGCCUAUCAGCUUGUUGGUGGGGUUAACGGGCCCACCAAGGCGACGACGGGUAGCCGGCCUGAGAGGGCGACCGGCCACACUGGGACUGAGACACGGCCCAGACUCCUACGGGAGGCAGCAGUGGGAAAUAUUGCGCAAUGGGCGAAAGCCUGACGCAGCGACGCCGCGUGAGGGACGACGGCCUUCGGGUUGUAAACCUCUUUCAGCAGGGACGAAGCGAAAGUGACGGUACCUGCAGAAGAAGCACCGGCUAACUACGUG
rnacentral:rRNA from 1 species